rnacentral:rRNA from 1 species
AACUGAAGAGUUUGAUCAUGGCUCAGAUUGAACGCUGGCGGCAGGCUUAACACAUGCAAGUCGAGCGGGGGAAGGUAGCUUGCUACUGGACCUAGCGGCGGACGGGUGAGUAAUGCUUAGGAAUCUGCCUAUUAGUGGGGGACAACAUCUCGAAAGGGAUGCUAAUACCGCAUACGUCCUACGGGAGAAAGCAGGGGAUCUUCGGACCUUGCGCUAAUAGAU